rnacentral:snRNA from 1 species
AUCGCUUCUCGGCCUUUUGGCUAAGAUCAUUUGUAGUUUCUGUUCUUAUCAGCUUAAUAUCUGAUACGGGCCUAAUUGGUCCAAGAUAUUAAACUUAUUUUUGCAAUAGGCCAUAUGCGAAAUUUAGAGCGCCAUCUAGUAGCGCGCCGAGAACUACGUCCGCCAUCUUGUUAGUGGCGAG